AUUGUCCAGGGUGUGUUCCGAUUGCGUGAUGGACCGCAGAGGCGCACGUUGGCACGCGUUUUCGUUGCAGCAUCUCUCAGAUCAGAAUCCCAUGCUCUGAAAUUCGUCAAAUUAUAUAAUAUGGCUUGUUUCGUGUGCUGCAAACGUUGAGAAUUGGGGUAAUUGGUGGUUUGUGUAGCUGGGAUCUAUCCAAGCUCUACCUGACAACUUCCCAACAUCUUUACCGUCUUCUUUUCUUCUUGAGUGCCACUCCUCGAGGAUUCAAAGUUUAGGGUAUAUUCGAAUAUAACUACAACAUCGUAAAAAUUAAAUAGUCCGAGCGAUGGAGCGAGAGAUCAAGAUUUUCCUCUUGCUACUCGAGGUCUUCCUACGGGAAAAGUGGAAAAAGAAAACUUAAAUAAGUCUUCUUCUAGCAGGAUCAGUCGCAUCCGAUGCCUCCUUGGAAUUAACAAAGAGCACAGAAGCAGCAGAUUCUACGUUCGAUCAGUGAUGUGAAGAGAUCAAAUCUAGCCACCUUUUUGCGCUCCUUUUUACCCACAGGAAUCGCAAGAAAUGGUUCUGUUAGAGUCUUCGACAUGAAAACAAAUUUUUCUAAUGUCUUUGAAUAAAGUAUCCCAGGUAUCCUCAAUGCCCAAGGACUCGGAUAUCCUUGAAGCAUAUAUGAACGACUCAGUCUGGGCGGUGCAGCAACGUCCAUUGGUAUUCCGGUGUGGUAUUCGGUAUUUUAUCUUCUUGGUUGAUCGCAAGUAGCAAAAUGUCAUCUCAAAAUUCAGAUAGAUCCAUGUGAGUACGAUUUAGUUGCCGUUCGUCCUAUCUCGAUGAUGAAGAGGAACCAUGGGGAAGAGAAGUUAUGGAUAGUUACGCAGUUAUCAUGGACCUUCCGUUUGUGCUGCGCCCGUUUUAGACAGAAGUGAAGCGCCCUUCCUCAUUUAGAAGAGGAUAAUCAGAGAUGAUGGAGUGGGAGAGCAUGAUGUGGAAGCCUUGGCCUCGGAUGUGCUUCGAUGAGAUUGCUCCCAUGUCACAGACUCGCUGUCAACUGGCUACAACUGCGUCGACCUCGGACGGUUCUCUCAUCGGAAUACUUGGACCCUGCGACGAAAUCUUCUAAUUGCUACUUUAGGAGGAAACUAGCAACCAUUGAUGAGCGAUCGUGUCUCGCACACUCAUGUGUGGCGCGCAUACCUACGCAUGUACACGAACAGCUGCAGGUGGAGUCCAGACGACCACGUUCUCCUUAGAGGAAUAAAAGGUGUUAUUUAAGUUGCUGAUCCGCUGAUGUUAAGGCCGAGGACGUCCCCCAGACAGGGCAAAGGAAAGGACAGUACUAAAACCCAUCAGGCAUUGAACGUGAUUAGUACCCUCUCGAAGCUGGUGACUGUGAUCUUAUCGCUGCUGCCGUGUGGCAUGCACUGGCAACAUCGGUCCUCUUGCAGGCAACACACAUUCAAUAAUUCCAGCACUUCUAUGCAAAGUGUGAACUGUGACCGAGGCUCAUCUCUCUGGUUUCUUCCUUUUCCUUUACUUGUACGUUAGCGCCUGUUGACGUGACAUCUGUAACCCGAUCUCAACAAAUUAAGCUGACAGGAUAUGCUCAGAGCACAUUCUUCAA